rnacentral:rRNA from 1 species
GACGAACGCUGGCGGCGUGCUUAACACAUGCAAGUCGAACGAUGAACCCGGAGCUUGCUCCGGUGGAUUAGUGGCGAACGGGUGAGUAACACGUGAGUAACCUGCCCUUGACUCUGGGAUAACUGCGGGAAACUGUAGCUAAUACCGGAUACGACCCUCGGCGGCAUCGCCAGGGGGUGGAAAGAAUUUCGGUCAAGGAUGGACUCGCGGCCUAUCAGCUAGUUGGUGAGGUAACGGCUCACCAAGGCGACGACGGGUAGCCGGCCUGAGAGGGCGACCGGCCACACUGGGACUGAGACACGGCCCAGACUCCUACGGGAGGCAGCAGUGGGGAAUAUUGCGCAAUGGGCGAAAGCCUGACGCAGCAACGCCGCGUGCGGGAUGACGGCCUUCGGGUUGUAAACCGCUUUCAGCAGGGAAGAAGCCGCAAGGUGACGGUACCUGCAGAAGAAGCACCGGCUAACUACGUGCCAGCCGCCGCCGUAA